rnacentral:tRNA from 1 species
GCAGUGGUAGUUCAAUGGUAGAACUCUAGCCUUCCAUGUGGGAGACCCAGGAUCGACUCCUUGCCAACGCC